CUGCGGUUGGAUCACCUCCUUUCUAGAGUACUAAAGUAAUAAGUCUCACAACUAUUACUUCAAUAAACUCAAUCAUCCUUGUUUAGAUUUCAAAGAUUGAUGAAAAAGCUAAUUUUGGGGAAUUAGCUCAGCUGGGAGAGUGUGUGCUUUGCACAUAAAAGCGUUAAGAAAAAGCAAACUGCUUUGCUUUUUUAGCUUUUCUCAUAAAGUACUACGUUGCUUUAUGAACUGCGUGCUUUAACUAGUUGAACUUUUUCUCUUAAGUUCUUUAUGGGGAAUUAGCUCAGCUGGGAGAGCGCCUGCUUUGCACGCAGGAGGUCAGCGGUUCGAUCCCGCUAUUCUCCACCAUUUUAAGGGCCUAUAGCUCAGCUGGUUAGAGUGCACCCCUGAUAAGGGUGAGGUCACAAGUUCAAGUCUUGUUAGGCCCACCAUAAAAAAGAUUUGUUUGCAAUAUAAAUAUAUAAGUUUUAAAACUUAAAGUAAGUAUAUUAAAUAUAUUUAUAAAUAAGAAUAUUUUAAUUAUUAAUUAUACUUACUUUAGGUUUUAAGACCUAAAUUAAAUAAAUAAUAAAAUAUUUUAUAUAUUAGAUUAGUUAUUUAAAGUUAUUUGAAUUAUCAUUGUUAAGAGUCACAAGCAAGUUUUUAGUAAAAACAAUUUUUACAGAACUUGUUAAAGAAUAAAAUUAUUAUUAUCUUUGCUUUAGUCUUUAAGAUUAAAGAUAAGUUUUAAACUCACAGCUCAUUAGCUAUAUUUAGUUUAUUAAGUGUUUAAAUGCUUUCCGUCUUGAGAUAGUAACGUUGUGAGUGGUAAAACUUCACCACGGAAGUGAUGCCGUUUAGAUAAACGUAAAAAACGUAAGC
rnacentral:tRNA from 1 species